rnacentral:lncRNA from 1 species
UGCAGCAAUAGGUCUGAGUUCAAGUCAAUUUGAUUUGAUUAGAAUUUAAUCUAACUGAUCUAGAUCCAAUCGAGCUAAUCCGAUUUCUGCAAUUAGAACUCUUUCUAAUUGGUGAUUGAAUUAAACUCUUUAAUUCGAUCAAACCCAUAAGACAAGAUUGAUGUCUAGUAAUGUAUCAUGUCUACCUGAAAGAUAUAAAAUUUUUGAUGGAAAUACUAAAAAUACCC